CUCACACAGAGGAAAGGCCAUGUGAAGACCCAGCGAGAAGGCGGCCACCUCCAAGCCCAGGAGAGAGGUCUCACCAGAAACAAGCCUGCUGGCACCUUCAUCUUGGGCUUCUAGCCUCCAGAUCUACAAGAGGUCCAGAGGCAGCCAGUCCAGGGCUGGGGAAGACAUUGGAUGAUGCUGUCAAGGGGUCAGGAUCUUCUACUCUUGUGGUGCCAUCUUCAGCUGGUGGUUCUCCUCAUGGCCCCUGGAGAGCUGCCGCCCCUUUGGACAUUACAUCUGCAUUCCAGAAGGAAGAAGAAAACAGGGCAAUGCGUGAAAGGGCACACCGGCUGACUUUCCCUUUCUGCCAUUUUUCCCACUCACUUGAACAUAUAAUCUUUACUAUGUGAUAAAUUCUGGACUUCUGCUGGAGAAGGCCAUCGAGAGGACAUGACUGCCGAUCAACCCUCAAGCUGGACCUGGGCAAUCCUCACCCUCCUCUGUCCUUGGAAUGUAUGUUCUGCCCACUGUUCCCCCAUGGGAGCCAUUUUCAAGGAUGCAGCUUUGAGAGAGCAAUGUGUUGUUGAGAUCAUCUGGAAGGUGUGUGUGACUGACCCCGUUAAAGCCUCUAUGUAAACUUUUAAGAUUCUGGCUGGCAGGUGUGGAGAUCGAUUCAUCUUGCAGCCGCCCAAGACAAGUCUCAUAGGUCAAUUCCCUUGCUGAUUAAACCUGCCACCUUCCAGUCUGGAGUGGCUGCCUCUUUCUGUGGUCUCUCCUUGCCUUCCAUGUACGGGGGGGCCAGUUUCAGAUUUCACCAAGGGAACUCCUGAUGUUACAAACCAGCAACUUCCUAUUCUGUUCUGUGGCUCUUUUUGC
rnacentral:lncRNA from 1 species